UUUAAUGUGGCAGAUUAGUGCCAUGAAUUUAAGCUUCAUAUAUAAAGUUAAACUUUCAUUAAAA
rnacentral:tRNA from 1 species